CCGUAGCCCAAGAGAUCGGGAUAACACCUGGAAACAGAUGCUAAUACCGGAUAACAACAGAUGAUGCCUAUCAACUGUUUAAAAGAUGGUUCUGCUAUCACUCUUGGAUGGACCUGCGGUGCAUUAGCUAGUUGGUAGGGUAACGGCCUACCAAGGCGAUGAUGCAUAGCCGAGUUGAGAGACUGAUCGGCCACAUUGGGACUGAGACACGGCCCAACUCCUACGGGAGGCAGCAGCA
rnacentral:rRNA from 1 species